rnacentral:rRNA from 1 species
GGCAGGACGGGGAGAUAUCGUGUGAGUCUGAACGAACUCUGGUAUUGAUUGGUGCUUGCAUCAUGAUUUACAUUUGAGUGAGUGGCGAACUGGUGAGUAACACGUGGGAAACCUGCCCAGAAGCGGGGGAUAACACCUGGAAACAGAUGCUAAUACCGCAUAACAACUUGGACCGCAUGGUCCGAGUUUGAAAGAUGGCUUCGGCUAUCACUUUUGGAUGGUCCCGCGGCGUAUUAGCUAGAUGGUGGGGUAACGGCUCACCAUGGCAAUGAUACGUAGCCGACCUGAGAGGGUAAUCGGCCACAUUGGGACUGAGACACGGCCCAAACUCCUACGGGAGGCAGCAGUAGGGAAUCUUCCACAAUGGACGAAAGUCUGAUGGAGCAACGCCGCGUGAGUGAAGAAGGGUUUCGGCUCGUAAAACUCUGUUGUUAAAGAAGAACAUAUCUGAGAGUAACUGUUCAGGUAUUGACGGUAUUUAACCAGAAAGCCACGGCUAACUACGUGCCAGCAGCCGCGGUAAUACGUAGGUGGCAAGCGUUGUCCGGAUUUAUUGGGCGUAAAGCGAGCGCAGGCGGUUUUUUAAGUCUGAUGUGAAAGCCUUCGGCUCAACCGAAGAAGUGCAUCGGAAACUGGGAAACUUGAGUGCAGAAGAGGACAGUGGAACUCCAUGUGUAGCGGUGAAAUGCGUAGAUAUAUGGAAGAACACCAGUGGCGAAGGCGGCUGUCUGGUCUGUAAACUGACGCUGAGGCUCGAAAGUAUGGGUAGCAAACAGGGAUUAGAUACCCUGGUAGUCCAUACCGUAAACGAUGAAUGCUAAAGUGUUGGAGGGUUUCCGCCCUUCAGUGCUGCAGCUAACGCAUUAAGCAUUCCGCCUGGGGAGUACGGCCGCAAGGCUGAAACUCAAAAGGAAUUGACGGGGGGCCCGCACAAGCGGUGGAGCAUGUGGUUUAAUUCGAAAGCUACGCGGAAGAACCUUACCAGGUCUUUGACAUACUAUGCAAAAUCUAAGAGAUUAGACGUUUCCCUUCCGGGGACAUGGAUACAGGGUGGUGCCAUGGUUGUCGUCCAGCUCCGUGUCCGUGAAGAAUGUUUGGUUAAGGUCCCCGCAACCGAAGCCGCAACCCGUUAUUAAUCGAGUUGCCAGCCAGUUAAAGUUAGGCCACCCUCCUUGGUGAAGCACACUGUCCCGCGUG